UUUGUACUCCCUCUGUCCCAAAAUUCUUGUCUUAAAUUUGUCUAAAUAUGGAUGUAUCUAGUUACAUUUUAGUGUUAGAUACAUCCGUAUCUAAACAAAUGUAAGACAAGACUUUUGGGACGGAGGGAAUACUAC
rnacentral:pre_miRNA from 1 species